rnacentral:misc_RNA from 1 species
AAAGGAGAAGAAUGAAGCUGUUCGAAGUCAAGAUUUCGAGAAGGCUGGAGAAUUGCGUGAUAGAGAAAUGGAACUUAAGACUAAGAUCUCUGCUCUAAUAGAUAAGGGCAAGGAGAUGAGCAAGGCAGAAAGCGAGGCAGGAGAUGUAGGCCCUGUUGUGACUGAAGUCGAUAUUCAGCACAUUGUCUCCUCCUGGACUGGCAUUCCUGUCGAGAAAGUAUCCACUGAUGAAUCUGACCGCCUCCUCAAAAUGGAAGAGACCCUCCAUAAGAGGGUCAUUGGUCAAGAUGAAGCAGUUAAAGCCAUCAGCCGUGCCAUACGGCGAGCUCGGGUUGGUCUGAAGAAUCCCAAUCGUCCAAUUGCAAGCUUUAUAUUUUCUGGUCCAACUGGUGUUGGUAAAUCUGAGUUAGCAAAAGCGUUGGCUGCAUACUAUUUUGGGUCUGA